CCUAAUGACACCUGGUUACAGCCUCCCUAAUGACACCUGGCUACAGCUGUCCCUAAUGACACCUGGUUACAGCCUCCCUAAUGACACCUGGUUACAGCCUCCCUAAUGACACCUGGUUACAGCCUCCCUAAUGACACCUGGUUACAGCCUCCCUAAUGACACCUGGUUACAGCCUCCCUAAUGACACCUGGUUACAGCCUCCCUAAUGACACCUGGUUACAGCCUCCCUAAUGACACCUGGUUACAGCCUCCCUAAUGACACCUGGUUACAGCCUCCCUAAUGACACCUGGUUACAGCCUCCCUAAUGACACCUGGUUACAG